AUAGCAUUAGCUCAUUUGGUAGAGCAUUGAACUCAUAAUUCAAGUGUAGUUAGUUCGAUUCUAACAUGUGUAUA
rnacentral:tRNA from 1 species